UGUUUUUGCACACGGCACGCGGAGGCGGAGCCUCCGACCCCAACACAGACGCGCCUGUGCGCGACCGGGGGCGGAGCCAAACACCACUCUCCGCCUGUCUCCAAGGCCCGAGCCUGACGAACGGAGACACUGACCAAUGAGAGCGGAGAGCUGGCGGAAGUCAGCCAGUAAGAACAUCGCCCGCGAGCAAGGAAGGCGGGCCUGCGGGAAAGACAGCGGGAUUAGCCAAUAGGUGGAAAAAUUGGUGGUGGCUUUGGCUUUCCCGCCCUUUCUCAGCAUCGGCUCUGAGGUUGCUGAGACCUGUUUGGGAAGGAAAGGGUUGCUGUCGUUGCUUCUGCUGGCUGCUUUUCACAGAUUCCGAGGGUUUCUUCGUGCUAGCGGGAACUCCCUCCGCGGCGGGCACUGUUUCCAGGCCUGGCAGCCCUUCUCCUCAGCGCCUUCCCGCUGGCGUUAGUUGUCUGCACUGACCGCGCCGGGCAGCGUUCCGGGUGCGCGGAGCCGUCCGUCCCCGCGGAGAUUUGGUUCUGGCGGGAUUUCCCCAGGCGGGCAUUUCAGAAGUAUCACCAGGUGGGCAGAUGCUGUCCCAAAGUGAGAUUUCUCUUUCGUCUGACACGGGGGACCCUGAGUCUUUAAGGAAAUGUAACUUGAGUUCGAGGAGAGGAAGGGGCUGAGCUUCUAAGUAAGAGUUUGGAAAAAUGCGAGUGAAGGUGUAGACGAGCGUGAGGAAGGAGGGGCCUUUCAAGGUGGAGGCAGAGAGCAGUGUGCCCAGAUGAAUGGAAAACCUGACAAGUACGUGGAAGAGUUAGGAGUUAAUUCAGUAAUCAGUAGCCAUUGUUAAUUGCUGCCCCUCCUUUCCUGUUUCUGGCCUGAGUGACUGGCAUUACACGUCUGCCAAGGCAUCCACGUGUGAGUUCACCGUCAAACAGUCACCGAGUGAUUUGUUGGCACUGUUUGGAGGCGCUGUGCUGGGUAUUGGGGAUUCAGGGGUUGGCAAAAUAGACCUGUCCCUGCCCUAACGGUCCUUGACAGCAGGGGUCAGAUGUUACAGAAGUAAACAGGCAAAUGUGUGAAUUACAAGAAAUGCAAGUGCAUGGAAGGGAAGAAACAGUGCUUUGAGAGAAGCAGAGUAAAUGGAAUUUAGAAAGGGUGUAAUUUAGCAGUGUUCCACGAAGAAAGAGCAAGUAUAAAGGCUCUUGAAGUGAGAAAGACUUGUCCCUUGUGAAGGGACUUAAAGCAGGCUAGUUUGGCUGCUGUAAUUCUGACCAGAUCCCUCUACUUCCUGAAUAUCAAAUCUGGCUUUUUUUAUUUGCUGUGUGUAUUGCCACUGAUUCAGUUUAGCCUUUGUCAUUUUUCUCCUGGAUCAGUGCAAAAACCUGUUAACUAAUGUCCUAUUCUCUUCCUCCUUCAUUGCACCCUCCACUCUUUCUAAAAUACAAAUCUUAGUAUAUCUUCCUUUAACCUCACUGACUUGAGAACAAAAUUCAAACCCUUAGCAUGGCGUAGAAAGCCCUACCUUUUUCUGGCCCCUGCUCAUCUUAUGUUUUGUUGCUUCUCCCUACCACCCCUGAAACUCCAUCUUGCCUUUGCACAUGCCUUUGCUUGAAACAGUCCUCAGUCUCAGCUUCUCCCUGGCUAACUUUUAAUUAUCUUUCAAGGGCCACCCCAGACAUCACUUUCUUCAGCAUGUCUUCCUUGACACCCCUGAUUUGGAUUAAGUGCCCUGUAUGACCCAGUGUAUUCUACUGUCAUCAGUCCUUGUCAUGCUGAAUUGUGUUGGUCUCCCUUGGCGCACAGAACUCUUUUUUUAGGUUGUCAUUGUUUGCUUGGUACAGUACCUAGUACCAUGAAAAUGUCACUUGGCUAAUGAAAAGAAAGAAUACUAACUCAUGUUUAGGCCACUUAGGUAGGCAGUGUGGUCUGUGGAAAGACUUGAGUUUGAAUCCAGACUCCUUUACUUACUAGUUGUGUGAUCAGGGUGAGGGAUUUAAUAUUAUCUAUUUUGUCAUUUGUAAAACUGAAAAUAGCAAUACUUAUUUUACAGGUUGUGACCGAGCACUAAUUCAAUAAUGUAUGAGAAAGUAUUUAGCACUGUACCUAGCGUGUAAUAAAUACCCAAUAAAUGUUAACUUCUUUCCUUAACAGGAAA